UAAGGAAUAUUGGUCAAUGGACGCAAGUCUGAACCAGCCAUGCCGCGUGGAGGAUGAAGGUCCUCUGGAUUGUAAACUUCUUUUAUCUGGGAAGAAAUCCACGAAUUCUUUUGUGGUUGACGGUACCAGAUGAAUAAGCACCGGCUAACUCCGUGCCAGCAGCCGCGGUAAUACGGAGGGUGCAAGCGUUAUCCGGAUUCACUGGGUUUAAAGGGUGCGUAGGCGGGCAGGUAAGUCAGUGGUGAAAUCUCUGGGCUUAACUCAGAAACUGCCGUUGAUACUAUCUGUCUUGAAUAUCAUGGAGGUAAGCGGAAUAUGUCAUGUAGCGGUGAAAUGCUUAGAUAUGACAUAGAACACCUAUAGCGAAGGCAGCUUACUACAUGAAGAUUGACGCUGAUGCACGAAAGCGUGGGGAGCAAACAGGAUUAGAUACCCGCGUAGUCC
rnacentral:rRNA from 1 species